UAAUACAUGCAAGUCGAACGCGUCUCCGUUAAUGAUUUUAGGUGCUUGCACUUGAAAGAUUUAACAUUGAGACGAGUGGCGAACUGGUGAGUAACACGUGGGUAACCUGCCCUUGAAGUAGGGGAUAACACUUGGAAACAGGUGCUAAUACCGUAUAACAACCAAAACCACCUGGUUUUGGUUUAAAAGACGGCUUCGGCUGUCACUUUAGGAUGGACCCGCGGCGUAUUAGCUUGUUGGUAAGGUAACGGCUUACCAAGGCGAUGAUACGUAGCCGACCUGAGAGGGUAAUCGGCCACAUUGGGACUGAGACACGGCCCAAACUCCUACGGGAGGCAGCAGUAGGGAAUCUUCCACAAUGGACGAAAGUCUGAUGGAGCAACGCCGCGUGAGUGAUGAAGGGUUUCGGCUCGUAAAACUCUGUUGUUGGAGAAGAACAGGUGUCAGAGUAACUGUUGACAUCUUGACGGUAUCCAACCAGAAAGCCACGGCUAACUACGUGCCAGCAGCCGCGGUAAUACGUAGGUGGCAAGCGUUGUCCGGAUUUAUUGGGCGUAAAGCGAGCGCAGGCGGUUUUUUAGGUCUGAUGUGAAAGCCUUCGGCUUAACCGGAGAAGUGCAUCGGAAACCGGGAGACUUGAGUGCAGAAGAGGACAGUGGAACUCCAUGUGUAGCGGUGAAAUGCGUAGAUAUAUGGAAGAACACCAGUGGCGAAGGCGGCUGUCUGGUCUGUAACUGACGCUGAGGCUCGA
rnacentral:rRNA from 1 species